rnacentral:pre_miRNA from 1 species
GGUGGGCAUGGCUCUGACGUCAUGGAGAAUUGAACGCGUGACUAGAUCCAUACUCACCAG